ACAAAUCAAUGGUGAAUCUACCUGUCUUGUCUCUCCGUCCCUCUUUCUCUCAUUCUUUCUGUCUUCCUCUCGUAUCGUCCCCUCCCUCCGUGGCUCUCUGGGGGUCCUACUUCUAGGACAGGGGGUCUCGCGCGGGGCCUGUGGGAGGAACCGGGGAUCCAUCACCAGGUCCUCAGAAGGAUACGGGACAGAGGCUCCAGGAGCCGGGUAGCCUCCAGCGAAUCAGCUCACGGCGGCGCAAGCGUCCGCGGCCGACGCGCCAGGACACCACGGAGAGCGAGGACGACGGGGGGCGGAGCCAGCGGACCCCCCGCUGGAACCCCCGGCUCAGCCCCCACCGCGGCCACAGCAGGACCAUCCUGGAGGAGAGCGUCUCUCAGGUCAGGCCGCUGGUCAUCCGUCGACCGAGCGCCGAGGUGCAGACGGCCCGGCAGCCCGGAGGCUUCCGGAGGCCCCAAGCCAGCGCUG
ensembl:lncRNA